UACGGAAGGCAGCAGUGGGGAAUAUUGCACAAUGGGCGAAAGCCUGAUGCAGCUAUGCCGCGUGUAUGAAGAAGGCCUUAGGGUUGUAAAGUACUUUCAUCGGGGAGGAAAAACAAAACUAAUAAUUUUAUUUCUUGACGUUACCCGAAAAAGAAGCACCGGCUAACUCCGUGCCAGCAGCCGCGGUAAUACGGAGGGUGCUAGCGUUAAUCAGAAUUACUGGGCGUAAAGAGCACGUAGGUGGUUUUUUUAAGUCAGAUGUGAAAUCCCUGGGCUUAACCUAGGAACUGCAUUUUGAAACUGAAAUACUAGAGUAUCGUAGAGGGAGGUAGAAUUCUAGGUGUAGCGGUGAAAUGCGUAGAUAUCUGGAGGAAUACCUGUGGCGAAAGCGGCCUCCUAAACGAAUACUGACACUGAGGUGCGAAAGCGUGGGGAGCAAAACGAGGGAUUAGAUACC
rnacentral:rRNA from 1 species